UCGUAACAAGGUCUCCGUUGGUGAACCAGCGGAGGGAUCAUUACAGAGUUGCAAAACUCCCACAAACCAUCGCGAAUCUUACCCGUACGGUUGCCUCGGCGCUGGCGGUCCGGAAGGCCCUCGGGCCCCCCGGAUCCUCGGGUCUCCCGCUCGCGGGAGGCUGCCCGCCGGAGUGCCGAAACCAAACUCUUGAUAUUUUAUGUCUCUCUGAGUAAACUUUUAAAUAAGUCAAAACUUUCAACAACGGAUCUCUUGGUUCUGGCAUCGAUGAAGAACGCAGCGAAAUGCGAUAAGUAAUGUGAAUUGCAGAAUUCAGUGAAUCAUCGAAUCUUUGAACGCACAUUGCGCUCGCCAGUAUUCUGGCGAGCAUGCCUGUUCGAGCGUCAUUUCAACCAUCAAGCUCUGCUUGCGUUGGGGAUCCGCGGCUGCCCGCGGUCCCUCAAAAACAGUGGCGGGCUCGCUAGUCACACCGAGCGUAGUAACUCUACAUCGCUAUGGUCGUGCGGCGGGUUCUUGCCGUAAAACCCCCCAAUUUCUAAGGUUGACCUCGGAUCAGGUAGGAAUACCCGCUGAACUUA
rnacentral:rRNA from 1 species